AGUGAACGCUGGCGGUAGGCCUAACACAUGCAAGUCGAACGGCAGCACAGUAAGAGCUUGCUCUUACGGGUGGCGAGUGGCGGACGGGUGAGGAAUACAUCGGAAUCUACUUUUUCGGGGGGGAUAACGUAGGGAAACUUACGCUAAUACCGCAUACGACCUACGGGUGAAAGCAGGGGAUCUUCGGACCUUGCGCGAUUGAAUGAGCCGAUGUCGGAUUAGCUAGUUGGCGGGGUGAAGGCCCACCAAGGCGACGAUCCGUAGCUGGUCUGAGAGGAUGAUCGGCGACACUGGAACUGAGACACGGUCCAGACUCCUACGGGAGGCAGCAGUGGGGAAUAUUGGACAAUGGGCGCAAGCCUGAUCCAGCCAUACCGCGUGGGUGAAGAAGGCCUUCGGGUUGUAAAGCCCUUUUGUUGGGAAAGAAAAGCAGCAGGUUAAGACCCCGCUGUUCUGACGGUACCCAAAGAAUAAGCACCGGCUAACUUCGUG
rnacentral:rRNA from 1 species